rnacentral:rRNA from 1 species
AGCCGAACGGAAUGAGGGGGCUUGCUCCUUCAUUUAGUGGCGCACGGGUGAGUAACGCGUGGAUAAUCUGCCUGACGAUCCGGGAUAACAUUUCGAAAGGGGUGCUAAUACCGGAUAAGCCCACGGGUUCUUCGGAGCCUGCGGGAAAAGGGGGGGACCUUUUGGCCUUCUGUCGUCAGAUGAGUCCGCGUACCAUUAGCUAGUUGGUAGGGUAAAGGCCUACCAAGGCUACGAUGGUUAGCUGGUUUGAGAGAAUGAUCAGCCACACUGGAACUGAGACACGGUCCAGACUCCUACGGGAGGCAGCAGUGGGGAAUUUUGCGCAAUGGGCGAAAGCCUGACGCAGCAACGCCGCGUGAGUGAUGAAGGCUUUCGGGUCGUAAAGCUCUGUCAGGGGGAAAGAAGUGUACGGAGGUUAAUACCCUCUGUACUUGACGGUACCCCCAAAGGAAGCACCGGCUAACUCCGUGCCAGCAGCCGCGGUAAUACGGAGGGUGCGAGCGUUGUUCGGAAUUAUUGGGCGUAAAGCGCGUGUAGGCGGUUUGUUAAGUCUGAUGUGAAAGCCCCGGGCUCAACCUGGGAAGUGCAUUGGAAACUGGCAGACUUGAAUACGGGAGAGGGUAGUGGAAUUCCUAGUGUAGGAGUGAAAUCCGUAGAUAUUAGGAGGAACACCGGUGGCGAAGGCGGCUGCCUGGACCGAUAUUGACGCUGAGACGCGAAAGCGUGGGUAGCAAACAGGAUUAGAUACCCUGGUAGUCCAC